rnacentral:rRNA from 1 species
AGCACGUUAUGGUGGGCGACUCUAAGGAGACUGCCGGUGACAAACCGGAGGAAGGUGGGGAGUGACGUCAAGUCAUCAUGGCCCUUACGGCCUGGGCUACACACGUGCUACAAUGGUCGGUACAAAGGGUUGCCAAGCCGCGAGGUGGAGCUAAUCCCAUAAAACCGAUCGUAGUCCGGAUCGCAGUCUGCAACUCGACUGCGUGAAGUCGGAAUCGCUAGUAAUCAUGAAUCAGAAUGUCACGGUGAAUACGUUCCCGGGCCUU